ACGUGCACAAGCUUCAACACGUAGUUUCUCGGAAAUUCCAACUCUCCUUCGCCAACACACACUGCAGCAAAUUCAAAAUCCAAAAUAAUAUUCUUCAAUUUUUCCUCGCUUCAAUCUUCAAUGGCGGAUUGGUCUACCCUCCCGGCCGAACUCCUCCACCUCAUUUCCCAGCACCUACCCACCUCAACCGACGUCCUCCGCUUCCGCUCCAUCUGCGCCAUCUGGCGCGCCGCCGUCCCUCCUCCGCCCUCCUCCGUCGCGCGCUUCCCCGUCCUCCCCAAUUGCGGGAUCUCCGACACCAGCUGGGGCUUCUACCUCUCCAAACGUACAAUCUAUUCCCUCCAAUCGCCGCUCCCCGAUCAAUCCUCAUGGAUCAUCAAAUUGGAUCGGGACAACCCGGCGCGAAUGCGUCUUCUCAACCCGCUCGAUCGAUCUCAAUUCAAGUCCUUCCCGAGCGCCUUCCCGAAGCUCUUCAGUUUCUUCAACAUUAGGGUUAGAGAAUUGGGGGAGGAAUACGCGCUGCAGUAUAUCAAUUUCAGGCCGACGGCGAGCUCGAUUGGGGAGGCCGGGAAUCUCUACAUGGAGAAAGUCGCCGUGUUGAACAAUGGCAGCAGCGGCGGCUUCGUGCUCUUGACAAUUCACGUUUCUGGUAAAUUGGUGGUGUAUAAGUCCGGCGACGAGAGAUGGAGGCUCAUUGAUGAUUUGCCCUCGCCGUACGAUGAUGUGAUCCUCUGGAAGGGGAAAUUCUACGCUGUCGAUAACACCGGCCGAAUUGUUGUUGUCAACACUGUGGAUUUGAAUGUGAGCGUUGCUGCGAAUUCGAUUUUCGGUGGUGACAAGAAGUUGCUUGUGGAUUCUGAUGGGGAUUUGUUGGUGGUAGAUAUGUAUCUAAGCGUUGAGCCAGCUGAUGACCUAGGUUUCAAUGAGGGGCUUGAGUUUUACGAGGAGUUCGACUCGUUUAUGAGCGAGAGAACUGUGAAGUUUAAGGUGUUUAGGCUGGAUGAGGAAGGUGAGAGAUGGGUAGAGAUCACUAAUUUAGGGGAUAUAAUGCUGUUCUUGGGUGAUAAUUGCGCGUUUUCAGCUUCGGCUGCAGAGGUUUUUGGUGAUGAGAAGUGUAGGGGGAACUGCAUAUUCUUUACAGACCAGUAUUGCAAUAGGGAGGACGAGGGGGGGCUCAAGGCUCGUGGCGUUGGAUUGUUUGAUUUGGGGAGUGGGAGUAUCGGGCCUGUUGAUAGCCACAUUGGCUAUUCAAAGAUGUUUUGGCCCCCUCCCGAUUGGGUUUAUUCAACCGCGUCUAUAGAAGCUGGGUUGGAGCUGCUGAAUAUUCGAUGAUGGAAAGGGGAUGGUUUUGGCUCGUUUUGUAGCCGGUUGUUAACUCACAUCUCUGAUGUUUUCUUGGCUCCUAUUAUAUCUUUCUUGCCGGUCGACAUAUUAGUAAUUCUGCAAUUAGGCCAAGAGCAAGAUGACACUACCAUCAUUUUAAGGUUUCAAAUGCCUGCAGUACGGGUUAGUGUUCGUCUCAUCUCAUCGUGUCUUAGUGUUUGCCUCUUCUCUUCUCCUCUCAUCAUGUAGAAUAGAGUUUUUCCCUGAUUCAUGACAAACCCUCAGAUUUUCUAGGAUGAAAUUUGCUUGAAUACAUUAAAUUCCAGCAACCACAAUUAGUAAUCAACAAGCUGUAGACUACCCAAGUUCAGUGUUGAAAUUACAUAACUGCGGUAAAUAAAUAAACCUAAUUUAUCUUGUCAA